UGAUUAUAUAGUACAAAACCUAAUGAACUUAAGAAAAAAAAUAUAUGCAUUUUAAUUAUACCUCUUAAUUGAUACUAUACAAAAUAAUUUAAAUUUCUUUUAAGAUUUAUCAACAUCAAUACCGUUCGUGUAACAACCAUGCUGAGAGGAGCUCUGAGAGUUUUUAAUUUUUUUAUUUUUGUUUCCCAGAAAUAAGUACUUAUUUUACCUUUUUUCCUUUACAAGGGAAUUUUACAUAUUUAACUACACGCUUACUUAUUUACAAUCACCAUACGUACUCAUGCAGACCAUACGUACUCAUGCAGGCCAUACAAAAUCUCCUCAUAAUUUAAAACCCAAUAAAUAAUUUUCCCGUGGUUAAGCCUCAUGUCAACCUGAACUCAGAAGUUGGAUUUUUCACCUAGUCAUCUGAUAUCCCUUUCUCAAUCUCUUCUGCUUCUUUGUUUCCCUUCUCAGUUGGACCAACAUCACUGGCUACCAUAGAAGGACGUGCUUUAAAAUCCUCCUGCUUUGCCACAGCAUCUGCUGCUGAUGCCUCAUUGAUAACUUCUUCCAAAUCCUCCUGCUUUGCACCGGUAUCUGCUGCGAAUGUCUGAUCGACACCUUCUUCAAAAUCCCCCAGCUUUGCCACAACAACUGCUGUCAAUGCGUCAUUUGCAGCCCCACUACUAUUGUGAUUUCCUUCCUUUUCUUCAACUCUAUAGUAAGCCUUUGGAAAUUUACAUUUGAUAAAAACAAAAUUGAUAUUCUUAGAGCUCAUUUCAAACAGUGGCAACAAAGAUUGGUACAUGCUAGAGAUAUUAAGUUUAUAAAGCUGAUUUAGUGCCUAGAAUCUAUUAUGAUGGCUCAGAAGUCACUGUACUUGGGUGAAACACAAAACAUAUUAUGGCAUAAAUGGUUCUAUACAAUUUUGCAGUGAGGGAAAUUUUAUACAUUGUAACUUUGAAUGAUAAACAUAAAUAAGGAUGGAACUCACCACACAAGUACGAGCUGGAGAGAGUACUUUGAAGGAGUUAGGACGAUCGUUGAAAUUUGUUUCAGGCACUCCAGGUAUCCCUUCAGGAGAUGUAAAAUGGUCCACAUCAUGG
rnacentral:misc_RNA from 1 species